rnacentral:lncRNA from 1 species
ACAAAGCGACGACGGUCGAAAGUUGUUGACGAAACUAACUUCUUUUUCUCUGUUUCACUCUCAAUCUCUAUUUCACUCUUUAUAGAUGGCACACACUCAAGCUGUUUCUGCCUUGCUGAUGACUCCUUCCAAGAGUGUCUCUAGAUAGCUCUCUCUAUUCCUCCUUGACUGCAAUCUAUCACACAAUGAAAAAUUAGAAGCAAAUAAAAAUUAACCUAAUUUCAACUCACAGUUGGGUCUCCACAUAGGAAGUGAGCCCAAACCCAACACAUGAUGUACUCUUUUCCAAAUGAAAGAAGAGGUGAAGUUCAAUUCAGUUUCAAUUGUAACCCAGUUUUAGCAUUUUUCACAUAUAGAUUUUAUUUCUUUUAGCAUUUCUCUUGUCCUGAAUAGCAAACACUUCUCCAUUAUCGAUGUUAUACAAGAAAUCUCUGUUUAUAACAACCAUGCAACUGUUUGUGUCUAUGAUUAUCCAAAACUUAAUACUCUGAUAAAGCUUCAUCAUAUUUUAUUACUAUGCUUAUGCAAGCUUUGUUUUCCAACAAGACAACAUAAAAGUUGAUUAGCAAUUGGCAAAAUUACUAUGGAACAAACUGAGUUUGAAGAACUUUUGUUGUAUACUAUAAUGAAUCAUAAUCAGACCACAUGGUUUUCAUUAUCUUUUUCUGACUCCUAGUAGAAUCAUUUUGCUUUCUUCUUGACUCAAUGUGAAUAAUCAAGAGAUAUCUUUUCGGGGUUGAGGGUAACAUGGAUCCAGUAAGUUACACGAACUUGUCUGCUUUAUGAUGAAGAUUUAAAUUACACAAUCAUUUCAACACUUCCAUUGUUUUGAAUGUUCCCUUUUCACAUAGACAAGUCCAACGAAGAUGCGUUUCUUCAGCUAAUUUAGGUUCCAUUUUAGAUUUUAAAACAGGAGAUAUAUAUUAUGGACACCAACACCUAUUAGACGCCUUAAACACCUAUUAGACGCCUUAGAGCAAUUUUUUUUUUUAAUUUAAAAGCAAAUCAAGUAAACUACUAAGAAAGAGAGGUGAAUCACAUAUAGACAAACUUAAAAAUCAAGUCUUUCCUUAAUUGCUUUCAAUUUCAAAAAAUUAAAGAGUAGCAACUGAAGUGUCUACUCAAAAUGCAAAAUCCUAAAAAAAAAUAAUGCAAAUGUUACAGUUAAUACUAAAUAAAUAGUUAUAAAAAAUGUAAAAAUAAAAUAAAAUAAAAUAAAUAAAAUAUAGGAAAUAAAAACAAUAACAAUAAAAAUAAAACCAAAAACAUAAAAAAAAAUGGCAAAAAAGGAGUUAAAAAAAAGAUAUAAAAUAAAGACAAAUCAAAAUAAAAGAUAUAAAAACAAAUCAAAACAUGAUAAAAAUAACAGAUAUAAAUAAAUAAAAUAAAAGUAAAUAAAAAUGAAAAUAAGAUACAAAUAAAAGUAAAUCAAAGUAAAAUUAAAACAAAGGAUAUGAGAAAAUAAAAUCAAAAUAAGAUAAUGAUAAUAUAAAAAAAAAAUCAGAUAUGAUAAAAGAAUAUCUUGAAUAUUAUAUUUUUUUAAUUUUCUUUUUUUAGAUUAUAAUAAAUAAAAACUAAUAAGAAGAAAAUACAAGUUAGCUAAGAAAAAAUAAAAUUAGGAAAAAAAAUUAUAAUAAAAAAAUCUUGUAUUUUUUAGAAAAUUUGCUUCUAAUUUUAUUUGAUAUAUUAUAAAUUUUAUUUUCUUUUUUUUCUUUUCGAAAUUAAUUUUCUGUUUUAGUUAAGAAACAACUUAAAUUUUUGCAUAUUUGACCUAUUAAAAAAGAUAGAUGAUUUCUCUGCAUAAUUUACUUUAAAAACAAAAAUUAAUAAAAAUAAUAAUUUUUUUUGUUAAUAAGGAAGAUCCAAAUAAAUUCAAUUAUAAAAAUAUUAAUUAAAAUAACAUAUUUAUUUAUUAUUAUAAUUCAAUAAUAUAUGUUUAUGAAUAUUUUUUUAAUCAAUAUUUUUUUAAUUAUAAUAAAUAUAUUCUCAUCAAUUAACCUAUGCAAUAUAAUGUGAUCUAUUAACCUCUGCAAUAUAAUAUCAAUAUCUAUUGGUCGAGUUCCCACUAUAAAUUUCACCACCACCAUGCCAACAAUUCAAACAUACCAUUACUCCUUCUUACACAUUGCUUUCUCUUCACAAACAAACUACACCGUAUUUUCUCAAAGUUUUUGUCCACAAACAAAUUAGCAAUGGAGAUAUCAAAAUCAUCGGUUGAACAAAUUCAGCCUCCAACUUACGGAAACUUAGUGACCAUUCUGAGCAUCGAUGGAGGUGGCAUCAGGGGCAUCAUCCCCGCCACCAUUCUUGAUUUCCUUGAGUCUCAGCUUCAGGUAUUUCAAUGCUCCAAAACCUACUUCAUUCAUUGACCAAUUCCAUUGAUGAAGAGACAUGUUAAAUACGUAGUACUAUGGAACACUGAUAAUGAAAAUGAUGUAGGAGUUGGAUGGUCCAGAGGCAAGGCUUGCAGAUUACUUUGACGUGAUUUCAGGAACAAGCACGGGAGGUCUUGUAACAGCCAUGCUAACUGCUCAGACAACAACCAUCGACCACUUUUUGCUGCCAAAGACAUCAAGCCCUUUUACUUGGAACACGGUCUUAAGAUUUUCCCACACCACAGGUAAUUCAUUCAUAAUGUUCUAUCUAGAUCAAAUCAUGCAUGCAUUCAUUCAUUUUGAGAAAUUAUGAGUUAAUAUAUAGCAUACUUUGCGUUGUUGCAGUGGGCUUGGUGGAACUAUAAUAGCAACAAGUCUAUGCAACCCUUUCUUUUUUCUCCUUAUCAGGUUAACUUUCCUCCCUCUGUUUUUUUUUUUCUUUUCAUCACUUCUUAAAUGAAAAGAAUGAGAAAGAAAGUAACAGGAAGGUUUGAAAUGAAUUGAUGCAGAUGAAGAAAUGUUCUUACAUGGAUGCUAAACUCUGCACACACUUUCACUAACCAAGACUCCCAAGGGAACCUACACCAAUUCAAUCUCAUUGAUGGCGGCGUCUGUGCAAAUAACCCGGUAAAUAUAUAUGCAUAAACUAAAAUUGAUUCUUGUUUCAAAACUUUUAUUUGACUAAUUAAUGAUAAUGAUGAAUGAUAUUAUGAUUGACUUGUUUUGUUCUGGGAAAUUGAUGAGGCAGACCCUAGUUGCCAUGAACGAAGUUACAAAGCAAAUCAUGAAGCAAAAUUCAGAUUCCUGAUAAUUUCAAUAGGCACUGGAACAGCAAAAAAUGAAGAAAAAAUCAAUGGUCAAAUUGCAGCAAAAUGGGGGUUAUUGGAUUGGCUAACCUACAAUGGCAGUACUCCAUUGACAGACGUUUUCACGCAAUCGAGUGCAUACAUGGUUGAUUUCCAUUUAUCUGCUGUGACUCAAGCACUUCACUCUGAAGAUAAUUACCUUCGAAUUCAGGAUGAUACCUUGAAUGGAACGGAUUCUUCAGUCGACAUUGCUACGAAGGAGAAUCUGCAGAAGCUUUGUGAGAUUGGUCAAAAUCUGUUGAAGAAAUCAGUUUCUAGGGUCAAUUUAGUGAAUGGUGUCUUUGAGCCACUCGCCAACGGGGAAACUAAUCAACAAGCUCUCACAAGGUUUAUUUUUUAAUUACUCUAAUUAGUUUUGGUUUAAUUAAUAGAAUUAUUAUAUUAAUUGAAUAUAUUGUAAUUAGUGGUUUGAUUUCAGGUUUGCGAAAAUACUCUCUCAGGAGAGGAGGCUCCGAGAGAUGAGAUCCCCACACACUACUAAGAACCCCGUUGUCUUCUAGUUCUCUUAAUCAUUCUAUAUAUUUAUAUAUAUAUAUAUAUAUUUAUUUAUUUAUUUUUCUCUUAACUUUCUUCUGUACAUUUCUUAAUUCAAUUCAUUUUGUUGAAUACGAUGUAACUUCAAUUCAGGGGCUACUUUAUUAUUAUACUUUUGUCUUUAUUUAAUAAACUGAUAUAAUAUAAAUUCUUUAUUGAUUAAUUCCUCGUCUUAUUGUUAUUUACCCUAAAACAAAAUCAAAAGUAAAAGUAAAACAAAAUUAUACUAAUCAUAUAACAAACUAUUAGAAUAGAAAACCAAAGACUAUAUAAUUCCUUAUAUAUAUAUAUGCAUGAAGGUUUAAAUCAAUUAUGAUGUAUACAUUCCUAGAUUUGAGAUAUGACUGGAUCCAAAGCAAAAGAACUUGUUGACUGAUCCGGGUAAUCAAUAAACCUUCAAUUACCUUAAAUCAAUGUUAUAAAAAAAUUAUUAUCAACAUCAUAUAUACCAUAAUUAAAUAAAUAAACAUUAAUUUUAGCAUGAGAGAAAGAAUUGAUGAAGAUUUAUCAGUGGGUUUAUUUUAGGAGUAGGUUGGAUUGAAGAAAGUUUUAACUACCAAUUAUCUAAUUAUUUAUAUUCUAAAUUUGGUAGUAAAAUUUUUGAUAGCUAAUUAGAUUAAAUUUAUAAAUUAUUUAUCAAUAAUAUAAAUUAAUUUAGAAAUUAAAAAAAUUAAUUUUUAAAAUGAUCUUUAAUUUAAUUAAUAUAAUAAUUAAUUAUAUUUUAUUAUUAAAAUUAAUUUUUAUUUAAUGGUUUUCUUGUCGGUAGUGCGUGGUGUCUUAAUCACUUCGGUCAGAGUGUCCGAGACACGUCAGCAUGUCAGUACAAUUUUCACUUAUUAUUUCAUUAAUAUUAUACAGGUUAUCUCAAUAAAAAUUCUAUUUAGUUAUAAAAUCUGAGAUAAAAUUAUGGCUUAAUUAUAUUUCUGUUUUCUAAAACUUAGGAUAUAUCUUAUUUUGUUCUUCAAAUUAAAAAAUAAUAAUUUUAUUGUGCGGAGACUAAAAGUGUUAGAUUUUAUUUUAAAACCAAUUCAUUAAGUCGUCUAUACUAUAUAUUGUUUUAAAUCAAGCAUUUAAAAACUAAAAUCAUAUUUUUCAAAUUUCGAAGACUCAAAAGAACUGUUUGUAAAUUUGAAGAACCAGCAGUAAAUUAACCUCAAAUUUCAUAAACUAUAAACAUAAAUUAUCUGAUAAAGAUUUUGAGACAAAAUUUAACA